rnacentral:rRNA from 1 species
UUCGGUCCCAAGUAGAGUGGCGCACGGGUGAGUAACGCGUAGAUAACCUGUCUUCAUGUCUGGAAUAAUACGCCGAAAGGGGUACUAAUACCGGAUAUUCUUGUUUUUCAUAAGGUUGACAAGAAAAGGUGGCCUCUGCAUAUGCUACUGCAUGAAGAGGGGUCUGCGUACCAUUAGCUAGUAGGUGGGGUAAGGGCCUACCUAGGCAACGAUGGUUAGCGGGUCUGAGAGGAUGAUCCGCCACACUGGCACUGGAACACGGGCCAGACUCCUACGGGAGGCAGCAGUGAGGAAUAUUGCGCAAUGGGGGCAACCCUGACGCAGCGACGCCGCGUGAGUGAGGAAGGCCUUCGGGUCGUAAAGCUCUGUCAAGAGGAAAGAAGUGCAUAGCGGUUAAUACCCGUUGUGUUUGACGGUACCUCUAAAGGAAGCACCGGCUAACUCCGUGCCAGCAGCCGCGGUAAUACGGAGGGUGCAAGCGUUGUUCGGAAUCACUGGGCGUAAAGGGCGCGUAGGCGGUUUGAUAAGUCAGAUGUGAAAGCCCAUGGCUUAACUGUGGAAGUGCAUUUGAAACUGUCAGACUUGAGUACCAGAGGGGAAAGUGGAAUUCCCGGUGUAGAGGUGAAAUUCGUAGAUAUCGGGAGGAAUACCGGUGGCGAAGGCGACUUUCUGGCUGGAUACUGACGCUGAGGCGCGAAAGCGUGGGGAGCAAACAGGAUUAGAUACCCUGGUAGUCCACGCCGUAAACGAUGUCAACUAGAUGUAGGGGGUGUUGAUCCCCUCUGUGUCGCAGCUAACGCAUUAAGUUGACCGCCUGGGGAGUACGGUCGCAAGAUUAAAACUCAAAUGAAUUGACGG